ACACUUGUAGCUCAGCGUGGUAGAGCAACGGUCUCCAAAACCGUGUGUCCCUGGUUCGACCCCAGGCAGGUGUG